AUUGAACGCUGGCGGCAUGCUUUACACAUGCAAGUCGAACGGUAACAGGCCGCAAGGUGCUGACGAGUGGCGAACGGGUGAGUAAUGCAUCGGAACGUGCCCAGUCGUGGGGGAUAACUACUCGAAAGAGUAGCUAAUACCGCAUACGAUCUAUGGAUGAAAGCGGGGGACCGUAAGGCCUCGCGCGAUUGGAGCGGCCGAUGUCAGAUUAGGUAGUUGGUGGGGUAAAGGCUCACCAAGCCAACGAUCUGUAGCUGGUCUGAGAGGACGACCAGCCACACUGGGACUGAGACCCGGCCCAGACUCCUACGGGAGGCAGCAGUGGGGAAUUUUGGACAAUGGGCGCAAGCCUGAUCCAGCAAUGCCGCGUGCAGGAAGAAGGCCUUCGGGUUGUAAACUGCUUUUGUACGGAACGAAACGGCUCUGGUUAAUACCCGGGGCUAAUGACGGUACCGUAAGAAUAAGCACCGGCUAACUACGU
rnacentral:rRNA from 1 species